rnacentral:rRNA from 1 species
GACGAACGCUGGCGGCGUGCCUAAUACAUGCAAGUCGAACGCAGUGGGGACGGGUGAUUAACACGUGGGUAACCUCCCAUCAGAGGGGAUAACACUUGGAAACUGGUGCUAAACCGAUACUGAUGGAUGGCCCCGCGGGGGAUUAGCUAGUUGGUGGGGUAACGGCUCACCAAGGCCACGAUGCAUAGCGGAGCGGAGAGGGUGAGCGGCCACACUGGGACUGAGACACGGCCCAGACUCCUACGUGAGGCAGCAGUGGGGAAUCUGCGGCAAUGGACGAAAGUCUGACCGAGCAACGCCGCGUGAGUGAAGAAGGUUUUCGGAUCGUAAAACUCUGUCGUUAGGGAAGCGGUAUCUAACCAGAAAGCAACGGCUAACUACGUGCCAGCAGCCGCGGUAAUUC